rnacentral:piRNA from 1 species
UGGGAAUAAGUACAUGCUGCUCUCAGCUC